rnacentral:rRNA from 1 species
CGGUAAUACCAGCUCUCUGAGUGGUAGGGACGAUUAUUGGGCUUAAAGCGUUCGUAGCCGGCCUGGAAAGUCUCUCGUCAAAUCCAGCGACCCAAUCGCUGGGCCGCGGGAGAUACUACUAGGCUUGGGAGCGGGAGAGGCCGACGGUAUUCCCGGGGUAGGAGUGAAAUCCUGUAAUCCCGGGAGGACCACCAGUGGCGAAGGCUGUCGGCUAGAACGCG